AAUUGGAGGGCAAGUCUGGUGCCAGCAGCCGCGGUAAUUCCAGCUCCAAUAGCGUAUAUUAAAGUUGUUGCAGUUAAAAAGCUCGUAGUUGAAUUUCGGGAUCAAUAUUUCGGUCAUGCCGUUGGUAUGCACUGUUAUCAUUGAUUUCUCACCUUCUAAAGAACCGUAAUGCCAUUAAUUUGGUGUUACGGGGAAUUAGGACUGUUACCUUGAAAAAAUUAGAGUGUUUAAAGCAGGCUCACGCUUGAAUACAUUAGCAUGGAAUAAUGAAAUAGGACAUCCGAUUCUAUUUUGUUGGUUUCUAGGAUCGAUGUAAUGAUUAAUAGGGAUAGUUGGGGGCAUUAGUAUUCAAUUGUCAGAGGUGAAAUUCUUGGAUUUAUUGAAGACUAACUACUGCGAAAGCAUUUGCCAAGGAUGUUUUCAUUAAUCAAGAACGAAAGUUAGGGGAUCGAAGACGAUCGGAUACCGUCGUAGUCUUAACCAUAAACUAUGCCGACUAGGGAUCGGAUGAUGUUAAUUUUUUAAUGACUCAUUCGGCGCCUUACGGGAAACCAAAGUGU
rnacentral:rRNA from 1 species